rnacentral:lncRNA from 1 species
CGCAAACACUUGUCCUCCAACUGCAGCUCCAGAGAGCACAGCUCCGGGCACAGCACAGGACGGCUCCUCGCGAUGCUCAAUGGAGCCAACUUCCCAUUGACUUCAGGGUGCAAUGAAAAUCCUGAUUAUCUCCAGUAUACCUGAAGUUAAUGUGUUUUGUCCAAGACAUCAGCAGUUUUCUGGAAGCUGAGAAACAGACUGGAGAGCUCUGAUGACACUGCUUGUGCUUUAUGAGACUGCCCGUGUGCAUUUCUCUGUGGAAUUCUCUCUGGAUGGGCACAAGAGACGGACUUUCCAAGAAUUCUCAAGACUCAGACUCAUGCUUUGCGGAUGAAGAGCAGCUCUCCUGGUGGUGCUGGAGGACGUGGUCACAUCGUGCAUGGCUCGCUGCGGCCAUGCUGGCCGAGUUGGCUGAAGCAUCACAGACAAGCUCCUCAUGGAACAGCUGUCGAUGCAGCGCACGGCAUCACAUAGCAGAUCCUACCAAAGGCUUGCUGACAGUUCACCUAGGUUCUUUACACAAAUCCCACAGACAGAAACCAUAUUUCAUGAAGACAUGCAGACCACUGAGGCUCCGAAGUGACAAUUUUCCUAGUUUUCCAAAACCAGCAAAGACUUGGGAAAGAAAAAUUGUUCUUGGAGGUGUAUCCGUAACUCCGUUUCUGUCUGUAUGAAUGCAUCUCUGAUACUUAUCACCCUGGAAACUUCCCGUGAUCCACGGAGGCUGCGAACUCUUUUUCAAAUGAGCGCGAUGCCUGAUAAGCUCUUUUUAAACGCCAAUUUUACUAUUAAAUGCCAAAUCUAGAGCUCCAUGCCCUGCCUCAUUAGUUAUUAAUGAAGCAACAUAUUUGUUCAAAAUUUAUGAUUGUUGAUUUGCUCCCAUCAUUGUAUGAAAUAUUAACACCGCAUUUGUACUUGCAACCAUUUUGCAGACAUUAGAUUGUGAAUUUGCAUAUUCAUGAAUGCUCAUAAAUGUUUAAGGAGACAGCACUGAAAGCAUGUGAGCUGUCAGUGAGCCAGUAAAAAGGCAUAUUUACAGUGUUAAUAAGUAGUUGAGUUUAUAGGACAAAACAGCAAGUAACAAAUUAAAUGAAUUUCCGUUUGCCUGUUGCAACAAACUACAGUAGCUUUUCCUCCCCUUCCCUUUGCUAAGCUGAGUAAACUUCAAACCUGCCUGCGAAAUUCUCCAUUGAGCAGCUCGUUGUGCAGCCGAGGCAUCUUGCUGCUUUUGCUAGGACCUCAACUUCUCACAGCCUUGCAUUUUCCUACAGAAGCCUGCACAGGGUAGUCACUAUUUACAAGAGC